rnacentral:rRNA from 1 species
UACGAAGGGGGCUAGCGUUGCUCGGAAUGACUGGGCGUAAAGGGCGCGUAGGCGGUUUGGACAGUCAGAUGUGAAAUUCCUGGGCUCAACCUGGGGGCUGCAUUUGAUACGUUCGGACUAGAGUGGGGAAGAGGGUCGUGGAAUUCCCAGUGUAGAGGUGAAAUUCGUAGAUAUUGGGAAGAACACCGGUGGCGAAGGCGGCGACCUGGUCCUUGACUGACGCUGAGACGCGAAAGCGUGGGGAGCAAACAGG